GGAUUAAUUCGAUGCAACGCGUAGAACCUUACCUGGGUUUGACAUGGAUCGGGAGUGCUCAGAGAUGGGUGUGCCUCUUUUGGGGUCGGUUCACAGGUGGUGCAUGGCUGUCGUCAGCUCGUGUCGUGAGAUGUUGGGUUAAGUCCCGCAACGAGCGCAACCCUUGUUCACUGUUGCCAGCACGUUAUGGUGGGACUCAGUGGAGACCGCCGGGGUCAACUCGGAGGAAGUGGGAUGACGUCAAGUCAUCAUGCCCUUAUG
rnacentral:rRNA from 1 species